AGUUGCUCCCGGCGGAGCAGGGGCGUGCAGCUCAGCGGCCACCGAGCCUCUGGGGCUCGCCCGGCCGCUCCUCGCGCUCCCAGCCGCCUGUGACGCCUGUUGGGGCCAAGCUGCUGCGGUUCCCUCCGCAGACAGACGCGCCGCGCCAGCCUCACGAGCCCUGCACCAACUUCUGCCCGACAAGCCCAACUUCUGCGCCGGGUUCGGACUUGCGGAGCCGGAACGGCGCACCGCGCGCAGCCCGGGCGGCGGCCAGGGCGGAUCAGCCUCGCCGAGAUGUCCUCGCGACUGUGGCUCUGGUGCUUCUGCGCCUGGGCGGUUGCCGGCUGGCCGCCAGGAAGCGCCCUACAGCUCCGGCUGGGCAUGCCAAGUGUUUGUGAAGAACAGCAAGUGACUGGUUGGACUUGCACACCCAUGUGUUUGGGCAUUCACACACAUUGUCAAGCUCUGCAAACAAGGCUGUACUGGCUCAAGUUGGUAUGUGAGCUAUGAAAGAAGCUAUCGCUGCAGUGGGAACUUGUUUCAAUGGAAGAAAAUGCUCAGAUGGUGAAGGCCAGUAGUGCCAGUGUUCAGAGGGAUUUCAUGGACCCCACUGUCAAUAACAGUCCUCUUUUCCGUCUUCUCAUUCCUGUGGAUCUGUCCUGUAGCCUUUCCACGCUAUCCUCAGGCUCAUCUGUUUUCUGAAGAUGG
rnacentral:sRNA from 1 species